rnacentral:rRNA from 1 species
UACGUAGGGUGCGAGCGUUGUCCGGAUUUAUUGGGCGUAAAGGGUGCGUAGGCGGUCGGGUAAGUCUGAUGUGAAAUCUCACAGCUUAACUGUGAAACUGCAUUGGAUACUAUCCGGCUCGAGGAAUGGAGGGGAGACUGGAAUACUUGGUGUAGCAGUGAAAUGCGUAGAUAUCAAGUGGAACACCAGUGGCGAAGGCGAGUCUCUGGACAUUUCCUGACGCUGAGGCACGAAAGCCAGGGGAGCAAACGGG